GGGGGUCGUUUUCGCUACGGGAAGGUGUUAGGCACCCGGAGCGAUUAUGGUAUUCCAUAAGAACCGUUCUCCUAAGUUUAUUUCUACGCUUUAGUUUUAUUGCUUAUUUGUAAAAAAAGAAGGUGUGAUUAGUUAAGAAUGGGGGUGAGAAGAAGUAGAAUUUGAUUUUUACUUCGGCUUGGAUGAGUUUUGACUCAUUGCCUACGUACCCUUUU
rnacentral:lncRNA from 1 species